AGGCGUAUAGUUCAAUGGAAGAAUGUCGGGCUUUGGACCCGAAUGUUGAAGGUUCGAAUCCUUCUACGCCUAUCA
rnacentral:tRNA from 1 species